rnacentral:rRNA from 1 species
AGGACGAACGCUGGCGGCGUGCUUAACACAUGCAAGUCGAACGAGGUCCAUCCGGUGGCAACACUGGAGAAGACCUAGUGGCGAACGGGUGAGUAACACGUGAGGAACCUGCCCCGAAGACCGGGAUAACAGCGGGAAACCGCUGCUAAUACCGGAUGCCCCCAUCGGACCACAUGGCCUGGUGAGGAAAUGGAUUCCGCUUCGGGAGGGCCUCGCGGCCUAUCAGCUUGUUGGUGGGGUAACGGCCUACCAAGGCGACGACGGGUAGCUGGUCUGAGAGGACGAUCAGCCACACUGGGACUGAGACACGGCCCAGACUCCUACGGGAGGCAGCAGUGGGGAAUCUUGCGCAAUGGGCGAAAGCCUGACGCAGCAACGCCGCGUGAGGGAUGAAGGCCUUCGGGUUGUAAACCUCUUUCAAGCAGGGACGAUAAUGACGGUACCUGCAGAAGAAGCUCCGGCCAACUACGUGCCAGCAGCCGCGGU